UGAACACAAUAACAAAGGGAGAUGUCACAAUAGCCAGUAAAUCCUUAUGUGGUGUUUGUACAAGUAGAGUGUCUCAUUAACAAGAGAUUUAGUAACAGAUAGUUAUCAUAAACAUUUGUACACGCGUGCUCCCUUCACAGACACCUUCUGCUGCGAGUGGGGCGACAGUAGUUGUCUAGUGGUCGUGGUGACGUUUUCAAGCAGCGGGAAUCACCAAGGAAGACAAGCAGUCCAAGGCUUCACCACAAGCUCCCACACUGCCUUAUCUUCAUCAAUUAAAGGCUCAGACGUGUAGAUGGAAGCAAUUGAAGGAAGAAGAAAGAGAAAUAAAGGAGGAAGACCAAGAAGAAACGAGAAAUAGAGGCGGAAUAGAAGAAGGUGCCAAGGUGUAAUAUUUAGACAGACCUACAGACGACCACCGCACGGAAGAGCAACGACUUACGUGCCUCAGACAGUCAGUUCUCCUAGGGCGGUGUCAGUGGCAUCCCGAAGCAGCGCAUGUGUGACGGCUUCAGUGACUGCAGUAACGGAGAGGAUGAGUUUGUGCAGCUGUGUGGCAUUGACGAGUGCCAGGAGAAGAAUGUCGGGUGUGUGUGAGCACCUGUGCAUCAACACUCGAGAGUCAUACUGCUACUACUGCCAGUGCCGGACAUGCAGAAUACAGACUCGUCAGGAAGUUCAACUGUGAAGACGUUGACGAGUGCGUGGAGACGCCAGAUCCUCUCCAGCAACGGUCAGGAGAAGACGGUCAUUGAAGUAUCAAGUCCCCAAGCUGGCAUGGUGGUGGGUGUUGUGCUGGGCUCUCUUGGGGUUUUUUGCCUAGCUGUUGGUAUGUUUGUCGGGUUUCUGAAGAUGCGUCGAUGUGUUAUCCACGCAAGCUUCCCCAACCCACCCAGUGUUCCACAAGACGACAGGCACUGAGGAGGACGGGAGCGAGCGGCUGCAUGCACACCUGAACGGGACGACAUUAUAUUCGUCCCACAGGAGUAUGACUACAGCGAAGAAAGCCCAGAAUAAAGUGUUUAGUGACAAUGAUGAUUCAGAACUACUAACACCAAAGGGUUUGGAGUGAACGUGAAAGACAUACAACAGACACCAGACUGCUACUGCUGGUGUUGCCAAACGAACAAGAAGAGCAGGAGGAGGAGGAGGAAGAAGAAGAUGGUGAUUCUUAGAGAGGUGCCAAUGAAGUUCUGAAGGUUGGCCACAAAUCUUCAUCACUAGUGUAGUGUAUUUCAUUGACCAUUUGUAGAGUGGGUGGAUAGAUUUGUAGAUUUUGUAGACAGCUAUCGUUUAUGCCUUAAGGACCAAAUGACCAACGUUUUCACUCAACGUGUUCACUCCAUGCUGGAGUUCACCAUGGAGAAACACGUAGUGAAUGAAGAUAGCGUUCCUUGUUAGGAGACGCCAUCUUCUUAAUGAGGGAGUGUAGCGAGCAUGCUGGCUACUGGCUAGUCACACAUCAACAGCUGUGUCUUGCUGCCAGGCCAUGACAGAAAAUUAGUACCAAGUAAUAGUUGGUAAGGGUAGUAGUAGUAGUAGUAGUAGUGGAGUGCUUCUCACCCUCUUGCAAGGUGUGAUGUAGACGUGGCUCUGUCUGUAGUGAUCACAACAACCUGUUCCUUCUUGUGUCUCGAAGAUAGACCACAAAAGUGUCCUUUUUGUUUUCUGGGGUGAAGCACAAAGGUAUUGUUACGUAACGUGUUUCCGAAGAUGAUGUUUUGUGAGUCUUUCAAUGCAAUACUUAAUUUAAGUUUCUGGCCAAUGUGUUACCACGUGGUGCAGUUUUUGUUACUUGUAUUUAUUUUUCAUACCUAUUGAUAUGGCAUUAUUUUGUGAAUGAUACUCCUGUAUAUUUCUAAGGCAACACAAUAUCUCUUGAU